rnacentral:lncRNA from 1 species
GUCUUUCAGGAUGAAUGCCAUCCACACAAAAGAGCUCCUGUUGACAUCUCAUUUACAAUCUCCCCCAGGACACAGACAAGACCCUUUCAAUAAAUCCAGCUCAGAAACACCUAUUGUUCAAAAUCUUCAACUCGCCACAGGCUACCACCACUCCCUAUGGCUUUGCAAAAUUAAAGAUUUAGAAGAAGGAUGGGGCGGUGGAAGCUAUGAAAAGAGGCAGGAAAAAAGUUCCUUUGACCCGAUGCUGUCAGAGAGCGUGCAUGAAGAAGAAAGUUAAUGGUAUUUCCAUUUAUAUAAGAAGCGCCUAAGAAAUGCCUGUGACGUUCGUGAACUAGUGAUUGUGAAUUCCAAAUUUGAUGCCAACUUUAUGUGUAAAGAAGCUAACUCCUGCCAACAUCGUGGCUGAAUGAACAGCUGGGACUAUGCUUAACCCAUUCCCAGCUUAUAAAAGCCCCAUGGCAGCUGCAGUGAAGCAUCAGAAAAGUAUAGUAAGAAGAAACUGAAUUUGAAGUGGAUUCUUACAAAGGAAAAAGAAAAUCACUAUUGUAACUAUACCAAAUUACUAUGUAUGUGAGCUCCCAGCUUUGACAUCAAGUCGUUACAGCCACGUAAUGGGAUUACGGAUUAUGUGAUGCAACAAAAUUCAAAUAUGAAAACCAUCUCGGAGGCCGGGCGCGGUGGCUCACGCCUUUAAUCCCAGCACUUUGGGAGGCCGAGGUGGGUGGAUCAUUUGAGGUCAGAAGUUCAAGACCAGCCUGGCCA